rnacentral:rRNA from 1 species
AGUGAACGCUGGCGGUAUGCCUAACACAUGCAAGUCGAACGGCAGCACAGUAAGAGCGUGCUGAUACGGGUGGCGAGUGACGGACGGGUAAGGAAUACAUCGGCAUCUACUUUUUCGUGGGGGAUAACGGGGGGAGACUUACGAUAAUACCGCAUACGACCUACGGGAGAAAGCAGGGGUUAUUCGGACCUUGCGCGAAUGAAUGAGCCGAGGUCGGAUUAGUUAGUUGGGGGGGGCAAGGACGACCAAGGAGACGAACCUUAGCUGGCCUGACAGGGUGGUCAGCCCCACUGGACCUGGGACACGCCCCAACGUCCAACGGAAGGCAGCAGUGGGGAACAUUGGACAAUGGGGGCACACCUGCUCCAGCCAUACCGCGUGGGUGAAAAAGGCCUUCGAGUGGUAAAGCCCGUUUAUUGGGAAAGAAAAGUAGCAGGUUAGUACCCCGCUAUUCUGACGGUACCCAACGAAUAAGCACCGGCUAACUUCGUG